rnacentral:rRNA from 1 species
GGGCCCGCACAAGCGGUGGAGCAUGUGGUUUAAUUCGACGCAACGCGCAGAACCUUACCAGGGUUUGACAUCCUGCGACCGCCUCCUAAUAGGGGUUUUCCCGCAAGGGACGCAGAGACAGGUGCUGCAUGGCUGUCGUCAGCUCGUGUCGUGAGAUGUUGGGUUAAGUCCCGCAACGAGCGCAACCCUCGCCUUUAGUUGCCAUCAUUCAGUUGGGCACUCUAGAGGGACCGCCGGCGACAAGCCGGAGGAAGGUGGGGAUGACGUCAAGUCCUCAUGGCCCUUACACCCUGGGCUACACACGUGCUACAAUGGCGGUGACAGUGGGCAGCUACUCAGCGAUGAGCGGCUAAUCCCAAAAAACCGCCCCAGUUCAGAUUGCACUCUGCAACUCGAGUGCAUGAAGGUGGAAUCGCUAGUAAUCGCAGAACAGCAGGCUGCGGUGAAUACGUUCCCGGGCCUU